rnacentral:rRNA from 1 species
AUGAGGACCGGGGGGAUGCUGUGCCGGUCGCAGGCGGCGACGGCGGUCUGCGUGCCGGGGGACGCACGGUCCAUGGUCGUCGGGCGCCGCUCCGACCGGACAAUCGCCGAGGACGCGCGCACCCUGCACGACGUCAGGUACGUGCGCCUUGGUGGAGACGGAGCCGGCGCCGCGCGUGUCUCGUCCAGGCGGGUGGCGCCGCCCCAGCCGCCGCCCAUGCCGAGGAGGCGCGGAGCGCCGGUGGCCGUGACGCUGCCGAUGGUGACCAAGAGCCCCGUGGAGACGCCGGCGCGGGAUACUGCGGCGGCUAAGCGGACAUCCGCCACUCCUACGGCGGCCGUGGCACCGGGCGACCAAGUCCUCCAAGUGGUCGUGAUGAAGGUGGCUAUACACUGCCAGGGGUGUGCAGGGAAAGUCAGGAAGCACAUCUCCAAAAUGGAAGGGGUGACAUCGUUCAGCAUCGAUCUGGAGAGCAAGAAGGUGACGGUGAUGGGUCACGUGUCCCCGGCGGGUGUCCUCGAGAGCGUCUCAAAGGUCAAGAAGGCUGAGCUGCUCAUGUGA